GACUCUUGCUUGCGUGACCCCUAAUCAAGGGGUUCUCAGGGGUUGGUGGGGGGGAGUGAAGGGGGUGUAACACACCUCUCUAAGUGAGCAGGGCCUUUACCAGCCAGGAGGCUGCUUUGGUAAACAUGAACUUGGUAAACUUCACAAGCUGAAAAGCACUGCCUAAAAAACUGUUGACAAACAUAACUAGAAUUAAGCAAUCCAGUGGGGCUUUCAGCCACAGUGUCCUUGGUCUUAGUCAGGUCUCUAGUCGAGGAGUCAGUCGCCAGCGAGUUGUAAAGGGGACUACGGUGGUCGGGUUCCAG